UAUUCGUUUGACGGUUUGUUGUGUUCACCUGUUAGAUAAUGGUCGAAUAAUAUUAUAUCUAUGCGUUUACCACCGUUGCGGCAUCGUUGGUGGCAGCGCGGCGCGCGGUUUAAAUGUGUUUGCGGCCGAAAAAACGACAAUUCAAACCGAAAUACCGAUCGUGUGUCUAUACGCACACUGAGACACGACUACACGAGCCUUAUCGGACCGAUACAAGAGUACAAGACGCUCGACUGGGCCACUAGACGUCGUCGUCACUGCUCGGUGUGCUCUUGCGUAGUAGUGCGCGUCGGUAAAGUCGGUUAGAAAAUGUGCCGUUAGCGAACGACCGAAUUUCAUUGCACGAACCACGCUCCCGAUCAGUCGAUAUUAGGUCUCGAAGAGACGCGAAGAUUCAUUCAUUAUUUCUCAGACAACUAAAUCGUAAAACACGAAUCUUCUAUAAUAAUAAGUGUGGCAAAGCGUUCAAUAUGAAGUAUAUUAUUAUGUGUUCAUCUGCUAGUUUUUAACUGUAGAAUAUUGGGGCCGCGUACUUCUCGAGUCAAAACCAAGUUGUCUAGUACAUUAAAGAAUAUCUUUGCAAAAAUGUUCGCCAGUGCCUUCGAAAAAUCUCAAUACAUCAUUUCUGCUUAAAUAUUUGCACCAACUUCCCAAAUGUCAAGGAUUAUGUUGAAACAUGAAAUAAUAGAUUUAACAAGAACAAGAACAAUCAAAUAUUAAAAGACGGUUUUCCGUUGUUGUUGAGGAUAAAAUCAAAUUAGUACACAUACGGCAUCAAUGGCAGAUAAAAAUCAACCAUCAUCUUCAGAAAAUGAUCAGCCCUUCAGGCUUCCAUGGCCUGAGAAUUCAUUAAUGCAGAGGCGGAUGAAUAGAUAUGUUGCAGAAUGGGAAAGGCAGAAAGACGAUGCUGCAAACAUGAAUAGAGAUGAAAUUACAAAAAACGAAAAUACCUUAGCAUCACAAAAUAAUACUAAAAAAGAUAAACAAAAGUGAUGCCUUUUCAUAGGCACAACUAGGGGGGGGGCUAAGCCCCCCAAACUACUCGAAGCCCCUUCAAAAAAAAAAAAAUAUUUUACCUUUGGUUUAGUUUUGAGGUGGGGCUAUAAACAAGAAUAGCCCUACUAAGAUUUAGUGCUAAUUGCGCCACUGUGCCUUUUAUUUAUUUUUCAUUGUAUUAUAAACUGUUAAUAUGUACAUUAUUAUUUUUAUGUUUUAGUGCGAAAAUGUUUAUGUUUAUUUUAUGUGUUUAACAAUUUUAAUUGUUGUAUAUUAUUCAAUACAUCAGCUCAUAUUUUGAACUUGAAUAGGUCACAUUACCAAGCAUAUUUUUAAAUUAGUUCAUCCAUUAGUCAUGAGUCAUAACCCAUACUAUCUUAUCUUCAUGGUUGUAGACACGGGGAGAAUAUCGGGGAUGGGUCCCCAUGAUCUUUUUUAUACAUUUUGUAAUGAAUCAAAAAUGAAGUUUAGCGUUUUAAUAUUUAAGAAACAUUACCUUAUAACAAUAUAUGAAUUUUAGGGACUUCUUUAUUUAUUAAUUAUA